rnacentral:misc_RNA from 1 species
AGAGAGAGAGAGAGAGAGAGAAAGACACUCUUUCGUCUCUUUAAUCUUAUUUGGAUACCUUGAAUAGAAAAUUAAUAAACUUAUAGUUUAUUUUACAAACAAACAAUCGUAUGGCGGCCAAUUUCGAAGGUAGUUUUGUCAAUUUUAAAAGAAAUUAACAUAGCCAAUGAAAAGUUAAGAGCAAAAGAUAAAUAUUGAACACGCAAAAGAUCUAGCAACCAAAAGCUUAAAGGUCUGUGCGUUUCUUUCAUAUCCGCCGACAGAUUGGACAAGUUCAGGGUUAAGUAGCCAAGGGUAUGUGUGGAUAGGAACUGGUUAAAAAUUUGAUAAAACAUUAGGAGAGAGAGAGAGAGAGAGAGAGAGUAAGCGAGUGAAAAAGGGAGAAAAGUCAAUAAGAAUACACAUUUUUCUUUUAUAAUUUAAACAUGAUAUUAAUCAAUUUCACAGAAUUUUCGGAAAUAUUAAUUCCAACUAAAUAAAUAGCAUUGGCCAUGUUCUAGGCCUGAACGCACUAUAAAUCGAACUUUAGCAAACAUUAACGGUAAAAACAAUGUUUGCACGGCAUAUUUAACAGACAAUCUCGAAAAUCAGCAAAAACAGGAGCUAGCUUGCCUAGCCUCGUGAAAAUAUUCACUUUUAAACGCUUCCCCUUAGAAAUAGUAGUAGUAAUAGUAGUAGUAUCAGCAGGCCCAGUUAACAUGACAAAUCCUUCAACAUCAGUAUUAAGAUAAAUAGACUUGUUAAUCGUGUUUGAUAGACAGAAUAUAAAGAGAGGAGGACGCCACAAGACCGGCCAUGACUGAUUUCAGCUCAGCUAGUUCGACAAUUUCCAGUGAUUACGGUUCUUGGAUAACUGCACCUUCGGAAACGGGAAAUUUUAACGAAACUUGUCUAUCCUUAUCAGUUAGGUUUAAAGUUGAAAAAUGUGAUAAGGAAAAAGUUAAAUCGUUAUACGAGCCAAUUUUUAGUUUAAUCGAUGAAAAUUCGGAUUUAUUUACCUUUGACGAUUCGGAUAAUGGAGAAAAGUCUAUCAAGGACCAAAUACCUUCGGUAACUGUAUCUUCUCUAGCACUGAUGGUCUUCCAUAAGGAGAAUUACGUGACGGAAAAGCAGCAAUCUGUUAAAAUGGUAAAGGAAUGUUUGAAAAAGCCUCCUUGGGUAUUACAUCAUACAGAUUCAACAACGAGGGGCUCUAUUCACCCGUAUCCAUUUAACAAUUUGGACUAUUAUUCGUGUUCAUCCAAUCUUCCUCUAUUGGCCCUUAGGCAGGUUCAUUACGGAAAGGAAAUAAUUCGUAUAGUUCGAUUCGUGUCGCAUAAAAAUUGGCAGGAUCAAAUCAACUUUUAUUCACUAGUUAUCGCUCAGAAUGCUACAAUUAUAAGAAAUGAUUUUUGCCUAUUUAUACUUAAAUCAACUAAAAAUACGAAAUUUCAAUUGCAUUUCGCCUUAAAAAAGGCUCCUGACAAAGUCAAAGUGUCAAAGGUUAAUGACUGCUCUGUGCAAUUUUCUGUUGACAAAAUUGGUCAUCUAGUACCACUAUUACCUAAAACAGCAAACCAAAUUUCCGAGAAUUUAUGGCUGAGUAAUGACUUGGACGACAACGAAAUUCUUUUUUCAACAGUCGCCGGUUCAACGUGGUCCUCUAGGAUUUCUCUGUCGCACGUUUCCGCGUCAGUCGACCACGUCAGUAGGGGAGAAAACAACGACGACGACGACGAUGACGACAACGACAACGAACCUGGUCGUCGAGGCAUUGACAGAAAGGACUACGAAACUGCUAGUGUUCUUUCUAAAACUCCCAGCAGCAUUUCCAUAACUCAAUCUGAACUUUCAACACUGUGCCAUCAUAUAGAACCGAAACGUCCCGUUAAACUUACAAAGACUUUGGUAAGAAGUAUAAGAGAUAGUAGGGAGCAGAUGAAGAGGAUAAGAGAAGGAGAUUCGGGCGUAGAUUCUCCAAAUAGAGCGCCAUCUACCGCCAGAUCUUUAACUCCGUGUUCGGCAACUUCUAGCAAAUGCUCAGACAAACUAUCUCCACGGGUAUUUUUGAACGAACCAAGCCAAAAGGUAGUUCAAGGCUUAAAAGGUUUUUACGUUUAGGAUAAAACAAAAAAACAAACGAACAGACAAACAAACAAACCAAUCAGAACAAAUAAAUUGUGACUUUUUAUAUUGAGAGUUCCGUCCAACUUGGCUUUAUAUAUUUUAUUCUAUUAUCGUUCUUUCUUUCACCGUCCAAUAGUAGUUAGUGUAUUCGGUUGUACGUAGAACGAAUGAAGAUUGAUAAACGCUCCAUGACCGAUGGAGGCAGUUGAGGAAAGAUGACGAGAGAAGAAGAGAGAAAGAUCGGGGUGGAGAGAAGAAAAUCAGGAAAAAAGACAGUUCGAUCAAGCGAUCGACAGAUAGAUAGAUAGAUAGAUAGGUAGUUAGAUAGAUAGAUAGAUAGAUAGAUAAAUAAACUAGAUAGAUUGAAGGACAGAAACAAGAACAAACAAACAAACAAACAAACAAACAAAUAGACAUGCUAUCGAUGCUAUUACAGCGAUUCCUGACAUCAGUUAAACUCCGCCCCUACUUUACCCCUUCUCCCUGUAUCUGUCUCUCGUUCCUUGUCCCCUUUCCUAGAAUAAAUCCAUCUACAACGCUCUUUUCCUUUUACUUUCUCUCAAUAUUUGUACAAGACUAAAAGUUGAAACGAAAAGAAAGUUUGCUUCUCUUUAUAUUUAAAUAAAUAAUCAUUUUACACCUGUUCUUAUUCAUUGUAAUUACCUUUUUAUUAAAGUUUAUAUGCUUCUACGAUACGCAUGGCAGGAAGCGCUGUAAAACGAAUGGCUUUAUGAUAGUUUUAUCCGGCUAAAACGUCUUUUUUUCUUUUUAAUUAUGCAACAGCGAUGAGGUAUAUUCUACUUUGAUUCGUGAUGCAUGUUCAAUGACUAUUUUUUCCCCCCUCUUUCUCUUUUUUCCUUUCUAUUCUGUCAGUCAGUCAGUCUAUCAUCCGUCUAUCUAUGUCUUUCUCUUUCUCUGUCUCUACCUCUCUCGUUCUGUAUGCUCUUUCUUCCCUCUUCCAUUCCUUCUCUGCUCAAUCGAUUGGCAUUCAUAUGGUUUUUUUUGUCAUAUUUUUCCUAGUCGCUUCUUUGUAUUCUUUAGCUUAAGAAAGAUAGAGAGAAUUAAGGAUACCUCAUGGGCGGUGAGGAAGUUAGAUAAAACUUUAUGACCGACUAAAAGGACGUUAAAAACUAGAUGAAUAACAACAUAAAAAUAGUCAGAUGACUAUUAUUACGAAAUUAUAGAUGUCUC